rnacentral:rRNA from 1 species
GUGGAUUAGGUACCCGGGUAGUCCACGCCCUAAACGAUGUCUACUAGUUGUCGGGUCUUAAUUGACUUGGUAACGCAGCUAACGCGUGAAGUAGACCGCCUGGGGAGUACGGUCGCAAGAUUAAAACUCAAAGGAAUUGACGGGGACCCGCACAAGCGGUGGAUGAUGUGGAUUAAUUCGAUGCAACGCGAAAAACCUUACCUACCUUUGACAUGUACGGAAGUCGCUAGAGAUAGCUUCGUGCUCGAAAGAGAGCCGUAACACAGGU